AGCAGCCGCGGUAAUUCCAGCUCCAAUAGCGUAUAUUAAAGUUGUUGCAGUUAAAAAGCUCGUAGUUGAAUUUCGGGAUCAGUAGGUCGGUCAUGCCUCAGGUAUGUACUGGUCUCACUGGUUCCUCCUUCCUGAUGAACCGUAAUGCCAUUAAUUUGGUGUUGCGGGGAAACUGGACUGUUACUUUGAAAAAAUUAGAGUGUUUAAAGCAGGCUAACGCUUGAAUACAUUAGCAUGGAAUAAUGAAAUAGGACGUUCGAUCCUAUUUUGUUGGUUUCUAGGAUUGACGUAAUGAUUAAUAGGGAUAGUUGGGGGCAUUAGUAUUCAAUUGUCAGAGGUGAAAUUCUUGGAUUUUAUUGAAGACUAACUACUGCGAAAGCAUUUGCCAAGGAUGUUUUCAUUAAUCAAGAACGAAAGUUAGGGGAUCGAAGACGAUCAGAUACCGUCGUA
rnacentral:rRNA from 1 species